GCUCGGAAUUAUUGGGCGUAAAGCGCGCGUAGGCGGUUACUUAAGUCGGAUGGGAAAGCCCUCGGCUUAACUGAGGAAGUGCACCCGAAACUGAGUAGCUAGAGUACGAAAGAGGGUCGCGGAAUUCCCGGUGUAGAGGUGAAAUUCGUAGAUAUCGGGAGGAACACCGGUGGCGAAGGCGGCGACCUGGGUCGAGACUGACGCUGAGGCGCGAAAGCGUGGGGAGCAAACAGG
rnacentral:rRNA from 1 species